rnacentral:misc_RNA from 1 species
GAUGAAGAACGUAGCGAAAUGCGAUACUUGGUGUGAAUUGCAGAAUCCCGUGAACCAUCGAGUCUUUGAACGCAAGUUGCGCCUCAAGCCAUUAGGUUGAGGGCACGUCUGCCUGGGCGUCACAUAUCGUUGCCUGAUGCCAGUUUCCUCGUGAUGGGUGACUGUGCAGGGCGAAUGAUGGCUUCCCGUGAGCAUUGUUGCCUCAUGGUUGGUUGAAAAUUGAGUCCUUGGUAGGGAGCGCCGUGAUAGAUGGUGGUUGAGUGACGAACGAGACCCAAUCAUGUGAGACCCCUACCGAAUUUGGCCUUCAUGACCCACAUGCGUCUUUGGAACGCUCAUGACGAGACCUCAGGUCAGGCGGGGCUACCCGCUGAGUUUAAGCAUAUCAAUAAGCGGAGGGA